GGAGUGGUCUUCAAAAUACAUAAAGACAGAUACACGGAUGAAUGCAAAUGGAUAAAGAGGCCCAGACUGGCUAAAGAUAAACCAAAGUAAGAAACAGAAUAUGGAAAAGAUCUGUGAGACGCAAUGAAGUAGGGUGUAAAGGACUCUGAUCUGAGUUUCAGCCCUGGCUCAACAAUUUAAAACUAAGUGACCUUGGACACAUGAACAGUAAGUGAAGAACAACAGCUAAAGUAUGUGGGCUGAUAUUUUUAUCACUGUUGAAAGCUGAGAAAACAAUGUAUGUAUUUCAAGCCAAAGCUAAGGUUUCUGAUGCCCAGAGGAAAAGAAGUUAAAUUGAAGAAAUCACUGGCAGAGAGAAUGGACUUUGUCCCUGGGGAGAGAGGAAGAAGGUAGAAAAAGAAAGCGAUCACCUAUUUCUCCUCCUCUGCACCCCAGAGACAGACCCACCACAGUGGCCAGCAGAUGGAUCUACUCUCCGUGACCGAGGGCUGUCUCUCACUUGUGAUCACGUUUCUUCCACUUGCCUCACAUCUUUCAGUUGCCAUGACCCCUUUUCCUGUUUGCUUGGCUUCCUGGUUCCUCUACCCACAAGUCCUUUUACCAAAAGCAGAGAGGCUGAGACUCAAAGACAGCACUUUUCGUCCUGCCCCUGAGUCUUUCCAUCCCUCCCCUCUAUAGCUGUGACUACUAAGUCAAUGCUACAAUAAUAAAGAAAUUUACUCCAGAAGGGACUGGAAGUGGACCCAAAAACACUUUAGAAACUCACGUGGAUGUUUCAUUAGCAGAAUUAAGUCAUUAAACUCCUCACCCUCAAAUGAAGUAUUCUGAUAGAUUCUAAAGCUGCAUUGAACUUAGCAUUUAUAUAUAGUACCCACUUCAGUGAAAUCCUUUAAACUUGAAAUAGGUCCUUGGAGCUUAAUGAAAAGUUCAGAUUCAGAUUAAACAUGCAUAUGUCUGAAUGUAAAAAAAAGAAGAAAAAAAUACUC